rnacentral:piRNA from 1 species
UGGAAUGGCUAUGAUUUCUCUUCCUACACUC